UACGUAGGGGGCAAGCGUUGUCCGGAUUUAUUGGGCGUAAAGAGCGUGUAGGCGGCUUUACAGGUCCGUUGUGAAAACUCGAGGCUCAACCUCGAGACGCCGGUGGAAACCGUAAAGCUAGAGUCCGGAAGAGGAGAGUGGAAUUCCUGGUGUAGCGGUGAAAUGCGCAGAUAUCAGGAGGAACACCCGUGGCGAAAGCGGCUCUCUGGGACGGUACUGACGCUGAGACGCGAAAGCGUGGGGAGCAAACAGGAUUAGAACCGUACCGUCA
rnacentral:rRNA from 1 species